rnacentral:rRNA from 1 species
GACGUAGGAUGCAAGCGUUGUCCGGAUUUAUUGGGCGUAAAGAGUUCGUAGGUGGUUUGUUAAGUCUGAUGUUAAAGACUGAGGCUCAACCUCGGGACUGCAUUGGAUACUGGCAGACUUGAGUAUGGUAGAGGCGAGUGGAAUUCCCAGUGUAGCGGUGAAAUGCGUAGAUAUUGGGAAGAACACCGGUGGCGUAAGCGACUCGCUGGGCCAUAACUGACACUGAGGAACGAAAGCCAGGGGAGCGAAUGGG